rnacentral:rRNA from 1 species
UACGUAGGUGGCAAGCGUUGUCCGGAUUUACUGGGCGUAAAGAGCGCGCAGGCGGUCGGAUAAGUCGAAUGUGAAAGCCCCCGGCUCAACUGGGGAGGGUCAUUCGAUACUGUUCGACUCGAAGGCAGGAGAGGGAAGUGGAAUUCCCGGUGUAGUGGUGAAAUGCGUAGAUAUCGGGAGGAACACCAGUGGCGAAGGCGGCUUGCCAGAAUGCGCUCGACGGUGAGGGAUGAAAGCUGGGGGAGCAAACCGG